UCAAAGGAAAAAUAAGAAUAGACUACACGUUCAGAAAAAUAAAGAAAAAAUGGAACAGCAAUGAAAAAAUACUGAGGAAAAGUAUCUGGAAAUGAGUGAGUGAGUGUUUGGAUGUGAGUGACGAGCAACACAGGGCGGUGGCUGGGCGAGUGUUGCAGGGGGUGGCUCUCAACACUGCAGUGGAAGGCGAGGGGCUGCUUUAUCAUUAUGGAGGGCUGGCGGGAGGCAGGAGGCGCCUUUGCAUUAUAUACAAGAUCAUGGGGUGAGAAAACUGUGGAGCAAAUACAGUAGUAGUAAUAAUAGUAGUAAUAGCAGCAAUACUAGUAGUGGUGGUGGUGGUGGUAUUGAUAGUCGUUUUAUAUUUGUAGUAGUAACAGCAGAAAAAAAAUGAACAAAAGCAAUAAUAAUAAUAAUAAUAAUAAUAAUAAUAAUAAUAAUAUAAGGUGCGUGAUGGAUGUCUCGGUGUUCUAUUUUCUAUAUAAUUUCUACAAGAGUGUAUUUCUAAUCUGCAGUAAGAAAUAUACUGGUGCGUGAGAGAGAGAGAGAGAGAGAGAGAGAGAGAGAGAGAGAGAGAGAGAGAGAGAGAGAGAGAGAGAGAGAGAGAGAGA